UCUGGUCUUUUCUCCGGCCCCUUCGCCUGGUCUUUGCUAAGAAUGUAUCUUUAGUCUCUAGUGGUUCUGUUGUUUGUUUUUAUAGAUCUCAUAAGAGUUUGAUUUCUGCGUUUCUCCAUUGGUUUUGUGUAUCCUAGGUAGACCGAUCGUUCUAUUAAUUGCAUUUCCCAUCUAAAGAUGCUUAGUGCUUUUCACUGGGACUUGGUUUAUAUGAAUCUCAUCUAUAGUUCAAGCCUGUUCAGUUUCUUGUUGUAAUUGUGCAUUGUUCACUGUUCUUGUCUCUGAAAUGUAUAUAGAGUUAUUAUUUUCUUGUUUAGGAUUUGGUUAAUUACAAUGUAAGUUAUUGGUUCCUUGACUGGUCUUUUUGUGUGUUUGGAGACUUAUCUGAUCGGGGUUUUUGAAAUUUCUUAAGAGGUUUAUAUUACUACAAUGGAUUGCAACAAAGAAGAGGCUAGAAGAGUGAAGAAAGAUCCAAACAAGGUUCGUGCAGCCAAAAAGAGGAAGAGAUUGGAUAUUGAUGUUGCUGGAUCUACAACAAAAUAUAGUAAGCGGAGGCAAAAGCAGCAGGGCAUCACUCAGUUUGGGAGAAGCUCCUCUGCAACAACGGAAGAAGAAAGAGCUGAAGAGCUUAAAGCAGCAGAGACUGGAUCGACUGAUUUGAGUCUAAGAUCUGAAAGGUUUAGUCAAGAGUUGCUUACAAAUCAGAUAGAGUCAGAGAAAAACAAACUUAUCCAGCUUAGGAGAGAAUUGGAAGAGGAGACUGGUAGAAAGAAGAAAGAUUUGCUUCUGAUUCUUUCCAAAAUUGAAGAAUCUGGCAAGCAGCUUGCGUCUGUUGAUCAAGAACUUGAGGUGAAAGAAAAGAGAGUCCAAGAAUUGAACAAUCUGAUCAACAUCUCUGGUGAACAGCUUGACUUGAAAUCCAAAGAAUUAGGACGAGUCCAAAAGCUGACUGAGGCACAAAGGAAAGUACUUUGUGAUAUGAAAAAGAAGCAGCAAGCUGAUGCAUGUAUCAGUGACACUAGCCAAGAAGAUUCAGCUGAAAGCCAACUUAAAGAAAUCACAGCUCAUCUUACUCCCCGACAGGUCUCCUUUUGUCUUAGAAGUUCACCUGAUCCAGCAGAAUAUGUUCUGGAACAAAUGGAGGAUGGUCUUUCUGACGAAGUGUUUUUAGGGGACUUGUUCGUGGAGAUUUUGGUUCUUUUUCUUGGUGAGCUCGCCAAAAUUCAGCAACUGGUCAAGUCUCAACUGCAGCUCAGGGCCAGAAAAAUGGCAAAUUCAUGGAAAAGGAAGAUGACAAAACGGCCGCUUGAGGCCUUAGCCUUUCUUAUGUUUAUGGUGGCUUAUGGAUUAAAGAAUUUGAUCAAUGAAGAUGACACUGCUCUACUUUCUUCGUUUAUUGCUCAAUACAAACAGGCUCCAAGACUCUUUCACUCUAUUGGUCUCAAGCUUGAGCUGAUCCAAGAGUUUGUUGAAGAGCUCAUCACGAAAAGCCAAUAUUUUCCUGCAGCCCGGCUUAUAUGUUUGUUUAAGCUUAAUAAUAAAGAGUUCUCAUUCUCAUCCUCAGAGCUCGUAACUGAAGAGAUCAUCAGUUUAAGGCGGUCUUUCCUGAAAAAUAAAUCAGCUGGAUCCUCCAAGGGUCUACGAAAAGAUGCUGGAAGAUUGAACACUAUACUUAAACUUGUGAGAGAUCAUAAUCUUGAAGUCAAUCUCCCUGGGGACCUCAUUGUAAAUCUCAUGAUCCAGAGAAAAAAAUCAAGUGAACAACCGACCCCUCUAGUUCGUUUCCCUGGGGUGGCCGAGGAUUGCUACUCAUCAACAAAUCCACAAGCACAACAUGAAUCUUCAGGUUCCUAAACCUGAGGUUAUACCCUACUUGAACUAGAUCCUCAUCUUGCUAAAUGUCUAAACGCUAGUAGGAAGUAGGAACCAAAGUUAGCGUGUAUACAGCUAGUGCUCCUGGUUACUAUGGAGAAGAUUCUAAUCCACAAUUUGAUGAGGAGACAAGAUUGGUUACUAACUUGGGACCCCUUAUGAUCAUAUACAACAAAGACAGACACAUGUAUUCUGUUCGGUAUGGUUGCUCUAAUCUAUCUAAACUUCUCCUUUAUAUAUAUCCUAAAAUAAGCCUAUAGAAUUCUUCAUCAACCAAAACUUGCAUUCAAAGAGUUACACAACACAGUUAACAAGUCUCCUACUUUCCAAUCUGAAAAAAAAAAAAAAAAAAAAAAACNAAACUCUUCCCUGAAAA